GACGAACGCUGGCGGCGUGCUUAACACAUGCAAGUCGAACGGAAAGGCCCUGCUUUUGUGGGGUGCUCGAGUGGCGAACGGGUGAGUAACACGUGAGUAACCUGCCCUUGACUUUGGGAUAACUUCAGGAAACUGGGGCUAAUACCGGAUAGGAGCUCCUGCUGCAUGGUGGGGGUUGGAAAGUUUCGGCGGUUGGGGAUGGACUCGCGGCUUAUCAGCUUGUUGGUGGGGUAGUGGCUUACCAAGGCUUUGACGGGUAGCCGGCCUGAGAGGGUGACCGGCCACAUAGGGACUGAGAUACGGCCAAGACUCAUACGGGAGGCAGGAGUGGGGAAUAGUGCAAAAUGGGCGGAAGCCUGAUGCAGCAACGCCGCGUGCGGGAUGACGGCCGUCGGGUUGUAAACCGCUUUCGCCUGUGACGAAGCGUGAGUGACGGUAAUGGGUAAAGAAGCACCGGCUAACUACGUG
rnacentral:rRNA from 1 species